GAGCCUGGCUCAGGACGAACGCUGGCGGCGUGCCUACCCUUUGCAAGUCGAGCGAAUCAAAGGGAGCUUGCUCCCUGAGGUUAGCGGCGGACGGGUGAGUAACACGUGGGCAACCUGCCUAUAAGAUUGGGAUAACUUCGGGAAACCGGAGCUAAUACCGGAUAAUUCUUUUCUACACAUGUAGGAAAGCUGAAAGACGGUUUACGCUGUCACUUAUAGAUGGGCCCGCGGCGCAUUAGCUAGUUGGUGAGGUAACGGCUCACCAAGGCAACGAUGCGUAGCCGACCUGAGAGGGUGAUCGGCCACACUGGGACUGAGACACGGCCCAGACUCCUACGGGAGGCAGCAGUAGGGAAUCUUCCGCAAUGGACGAAAGUCUGACGGAGCAACGCCGCGUGAGUGAUGAAGGUUUUCGGAUCGUAAAACUCUGUUGUUAGGGAAGAACAAGUACGAGAGUAACUGCUCGUACCUUGACGGUACCUAACCAGAAAGCCACGGCUAACUACGUGCCAGCAGCCGCGGUAAUACGUAGGUGGCAAGCGUUGUCCGGAAUUAUUGGGCGUAAAGCGCGCGCAGGCGGUCCUUUAAGUCUGAUGUGAAAGCCCACGGCUCAACCGUGGAGGGUCAUUGGAAACUGGGGGACUUGAGUACAGAAGAGAAGAGUGGAAUUCCACGUGUAGCGAUGACAUGCGUAGAGAUGUGGAGGA
rnacentral:rRNA from 1 species